rnacentral:rRNA from 1 species
AGUGAACGCUGGCGGUAGGCCUAACACAUGCAAGUCGAACGGCAGCACAGUAAAAGCUUGCUCUUACGGGUGGCGAGUGGCGGACGGGUGAGGAAUACAUCGGAAUCUACUUUUUCGUGGGGGAUAACGUAGGGAAACUUACGCUAAUACCGCAUACGACCUACGGGUGAAAGCAGGGGAUCUUCGGACCUUGCGCGAUUGAAUGAGCCGAUGUCGGAUUAGCUAGUUGGCGGGGUAAAGGCCCACCAAGGCGACGAUCCGUAGCUGGUCUGAGAGGAUGAUCAGCCACACUGUAACUGAGACACGGUCCAGACUCCUACGGGAGGCAGCAGUGGGGAAUAUUGGACAAGGGGCGCAAGCCUGAUCCAGCCAUACCGCGUGGGUGAAGAAGGCCUUCGGGUUGUAAAGCCCUUUUGUUGGGAAAGUAAAGCAGCAGGUUAAUACCCCGCUGUUCUGACGGUACCCAAAGAAUAAGCACCGGCUAACUUCGUG